CCGGCCCUCACUUUGUUUGCAAAGCAGUGUAAUUGGUUUAAGCCCAGAAGCUAGGGAAAGAGGGAAAUGGGGUGGAGGGGUGUAACCCCCUUUGGAAAAAGAAAAAAGAAAAAUAGGCGGGGCCGGGCGGGCAGGCCCGGGCUCCGCUUGGGAACUGUGCCGGGGAAGAAGGCCAGGGGCGGUGGCAUCGGAGCCCUGCCUUAGAGACCGAGCGGACUAAAUGACCCCGGGGUACCUCCCCGGAGGCGCUCACCACCCUCCGGAGCCGGGCCGCGGCCCAGUCCCGCGCACCUCUUGCUCUUCUGCCUGCUCUCUGCCCCCUCCCUCCUGACUCCUGACCCAAAGUUCAACUCUGGGAGACUGGAGAAUACAGACUUUUUUUCCCCUUUCCUUUCUUUCCUGCUUGGGCUUCAAACUAGAAAAGGGAAAAAGCCCCACUUUUGCUUCGUCACUAGAAACCCGGUCAUCUGAGUCAGCCUAGCCGAGUGACGUUAGGCCGACCCGGGCUCCUGGCUAGCAGAGCGGAGGCCCUGCCACGAAACUCGUACCUGCGGCUAAGAGCAGGCUUCUUCAAAAAACCCAAGACUGGUGGUGCAGAGUGAACUCAGCCAGCUUCACAUCCUUGAUCCAGCUUGGAGGUUCCUGGGUCUGGGGCCCAGGAGAUUCCCACGAACACAGCGCCUCCUGUCGUGGAGAGGGAACGCUGGAUUCUUCCGCAGGCGUCUGCAGGGAGCUUCGCCAGGCGAGAAGGCCCUUACACUAUUGCAAAACUGCUUUGCGAAGACUGCUGCUCGUUUGGGGGAACUAGACCUGUCUUCAGCUCGGGGAGGCUAGGUGGACUGGGCCAGGGGAGCCGCGAGGACAACCACGUGUCGACUCCUGGGGAAUCCUGGGCCAAACUCGUGCGGGUGAGGACCGGUCUGUGGCGGCCUGGGGCGGCUCAGGUAGCAGCGAGGGCGGGCUUCUCCAGUGGAGGAGGCCGCGGCGGUCGGGACGGUAGGGAGCGCCGGUACUCCAGGUGGCCUUGGGAGGAAGAAGCAGCUCCGCCCUUCCCGGAAGCCGCGCCUGCGACCCGCGGGGGCCGCUCUCCGCGCAGUGCGGCUGUAGAAGAGGCGGCACACGGUCCACUGACCAAACUGGGCUGCCUCAGCUUAGCCUUCCCAGCAUGACCUGGCUGGGAGUCCCUUCGCAUAUAUUCACCGCGGAGGGAGACUCAGAG
rnacentral:lncRNA from 1 species